GACGAGGUGGCCGAGUGGUUAAGGCGAUGGACUGCUAAUCCAUUGUGCUCUGCACUCGUGGGUUGCGAAUCCCAUCCUCGUCG
rfam:Ciona savignyi cont_34565, whole genome shotgun sequence.